rnacentral:miRNA from 1 species
CUAAGAACUUUACCAUUGGAGG